UGGGCUUCUAGGUGGGAUUAGAUUUUGGAGUCUGUGCCUCAUGCUAAUAUUCAGUGUAUUGUGAAUUCCUUUGUUGUUAUUCUUUUCUUAUCUGGAACGGUGGCUAUCAUAUUAAGGAUUCUCCAUAAAGAUAUUAUCAGAUAUAAUAAGAUGAAUUCUGAUGCCCAGCAGGAGUUUGGCUGGAAGAUGAUUCAUGCAGUUGUUUUCAGGCCCCCAAAGAACGCAAUGUUGCUGUCAGCCUUCCUGGGUCAAGGAACACAAAUUUUGUUUGUUACCUUUAUUACUUUAGUCUGGCCUGCCUUGGUUUUCCUUCUCCUGCCAAUGGAGGAGCUUUAAUGACCUGUGCCAUUGUGUUAUGGGUCCUUCUGGGAACCCCUGCCAGAUAUGUGUCUGCUAUAAUGUAUAAGAAGGUGCUAAGUGGAAGACAAAUGCCUUGCUGACAGCACUAUUAUGUCCGGGGUUAAAUUGUCUUUGCUGAUCUCUUUAUUAUGAUGAAAAUUCUCUGGAUGGAAGGGUCAUCAGCUGCCGUCUCCUUUGCUACUCUGCUAGAUAUCCUUACAAUUUGGUUUAGAAUUUUAGUACCACUAACAUUUUUUGGUGCAUAUUUUGGAAAUAAAGAAAAGAUUAGUUGUCCAGUUCAGACAAACCAGAUCCCCUGUCAGAUUCCUCCAUAGAACUUCUUUACAAAACCACUUCUUGGCAUCAUAAUUGGUGGCAUUUUCCCCUUCGGCUGUAUUUUUAUUCAACUCUUUUUCAUUCUGAACAGUAUUUGGUCUCAUUAGCUGUACUACAUGUUUGGCUUCCUUUUCUUAGUCUUUAUAAUUCUUGUGAUUACUUGCUCAGAAGUUACAGUUUUGCUGUAUUAUUUUCAUUUAUGUGCUGAGGAUUAUCAUUGGUGGUGGCGAUUUUUAACCAGAAGCUUUAUAGCUGUUUAUCUUUUUACGUAUGCAGUUCAUUACUUCUCUGCCAAACUUCAAAUCACAGAAAUUGCGAGCUCUAUUUUGUACUUUGGGUACAUGAUGAUCAUUGUGUUGAUUUUCUUCCUUUUCAUAGAGACAGUUGGAUUUUUUUCCUGUUUCUGGUUAAUUGCUAAAAUCUACAGUGUGCUGAAGGUGGAGUAA
rnacentral:lncRNA from 1 species